rnacentral:rRNA from 1 species
GAUGAACGCUGGCGGCGUGCCUAAUACAUGCAAGUCGAGCGAACAGAUGAGGAGCUUGCUCCUCUGACGUUAGCGGCGGACGGGUGAGUAACACGUGGAUAACCUACCUAUAAGACUGGGAUAACUUCGGGAAACCGGAGCUAAUACCGGAUAAUAUAUUGAACCGCAUGGUUCAAUAGUGAAAGACGGUUUUGCUGUCACUUAUAGAUGGAUCCGCGCCGCAUUAGCUAGUUGGUAAGGUAACGGCUUACCAAGGCAACGAUGCGUAGCCGACCUGAGAGGGUAGUCGGCCACACUGGAACUGAGACACGGUCCAGACUCCUACGGGAGGCAGCAGUAGGGAAUCGUCCGCAAUGGGCGAAAGCCUGACGGAGCAACGCCGCGGGAGUGAUGAAGGUCUUCGGAUCGUAAAACUCUGUUAUUAGGGAAGAACAAAUGUGUAAGUAACUAUGCACGUCUUGACGGUACCUAAUCAGAAAGCCACGGCUAACUACGUG